GCAGAACCUGUAAACCGUAUGCAAAUGUGCCUGGAAUCGUUUCACGUUUAUGUUGUGUAUUUUAGCGCUUGAAAUUAUCAAGGCAUUCAAAAAAGGGACAUGUCAUACUACUGGAUACGGAUGCAUGCCAUUUAAUCAAUGCAUGGCAAAGUAUUGGGCGGCUCGCAGUGCCUGUGGAUUAGGUUCCGUUUGCUGCAACCUGGGAAAGAAGAAUGCGUGCUUGUUGGCUGGAGGAAUGUGCAAGCGACAUUGCAGAACUCCUAUGAAGCACAUCAAAUGCUCUAAGCUGAGGAUAUGCUGCUCCAUGGAACCGAUAUCUUACAGACCCCACGGGUACCAUUGAAUAAGGGUGUCACUGAAGAUCUAAGAAUAACAAGAAGACGACUCACGAGAGAUACAACGCAAUUAAAAAACGUUCAUACCAAGAACUGUGAAAAAUAAAUAUGGUAAUGAAAUUCUA
rnacentral:misc_RNA from 1 species